GACGAACGCUGGCGGCGUGCUUAACACAUGCAAGUCGAGCGGUAAGGCCCUUUCGGGGGUACACGAGCGGCGAACGGGUGAGUAACACGUGGGUGACCUGCCCUCAGCUCUGGGAUAAAGCCCGGGAAACUGGGUCUAAUACUGGAUAUGACUCCAUGACGCAUGUUGUGGGGUGGAAAGCCUUGUGCGGCUGAGGAUGGGCCCGCGGCCUAUCAGCUU
rnacentral:rRNA from 1 species